rnacentral:rRNA from 1 species
GAUGAACGCUGGCGGCGUGCCUAAUACAUGCAAGUCGAGCGAACAGACGAGGAGCUUGCUCCUCUGACGUUAGCGGCGGACGGGUGAGUAACACGUGGAUAACCUACCUAUAAGACUGGGAUAACUUCGGGAAACCGGAGCUAAUACCGGAUAAUAUAUUGAACCGCAUGGUUCAAUAGUGAAAGACGGCUUUGCUGUCACUUAUAGAUGGAUCCGCGCCGCAUUAGCUAGUUGGUAAGGUAACGGCUUACCAAGGCAACGAUGCGUAGCCGACCUGAGAGGGUGAUCGGCCACACUGGAACUGAGACACGGUCCAGACUCCUACGGGAGGCAGCAGUAGGGAAUCUUCCGCAAUGGGCGAAAGCCUGACGGAGCAACGCCGCGUGAGUGAUGAAGGUCUUCGGAUCGUAAAGCUCUGUUAUUAGGGAAGAACAAAUGUGUAAGUAACUAUGCACGUCUUGACGGUACCUAAUCAGAAAGCAACGGCUAACUACGUG